UGGGGAAUAUUGGACAAUGGGCGAAAGCCUGACCCAGCAACGCCGCGUGAAGGAUGAAGUAUUUCGGUAUGUAAACUUCGUAAGAAUAGGAAGAAUAAAUGACGGUACUAUUUGUAAGGUCCGGCUAACUACGUGCCAGCAGCCGCGGUAAUACGUAGGGACCAAGCGUUGUUCGGAUUUACUGGGCGUAAAGGGCGCGUAGGCGGCGUGGUAAGUCAUCUGUGAAAUCUCCGAGCUUAACUCGGAACGGUCAGAUGAUACUGCUGUGCUAGAGUACAGAAAGGGCAAUCGGAAUUCUUGGUGUAGCGGUGAAAUGCGUAGAUAUCAAGAGGAACACCUGAGGCGAAGGCGGGUUGCUAGGCUGAUACUGACGCUGAGGCGCGAAAGCUAGGGUAGCAAACGGGAUUAGAUACCCCUGUAGUCCCUGAGCGGGCUGGCAAGGCGCAU
rnacentral:rRNA from 1 species